AACGAACGUUAGCGGCGGGCCUAACACAUGCAAGUCGAACGCGAAAGGUCUUCGGACUGAGUAGAGUGGCGCACGGGUGAGUAACACGUAGGUAAUCUACCCUUUGGCGGGGGAUAACGUUCCGAAAGGAGCGCUAAUACCGCAUAAGACCACGGAGUCUCCGGACGCUGUGGGAAAAGGUGGCCUCUUCUUGAAAGCUACCACCGAAGGAUGAGCCUGCGUCCCAUCAGCUAGUUGGUAAGGUAAUGGCUUACCAAGGCGAAGACGGGUAGCUGGUUUGAGAGAAUGAUCAGCCACACUGGCACUGGAACACGGGCCAGACUCCUACGGGAGGCAGCAGUGAGGAAUAUUGGGCAAUGGGCGAAAGCCUGACCCAGCCACGCCGCGUGAGUGAUGAAGGCCCUCGGGUCGUAAAGCUCUGUGGAGAGGGACGAAAACCCUGGUUUCAAAUAGGCUCCAGGCUUGACGGUACCUCUUUAGCAAGCACCGGCUAACUCUGUGCCAGCAGCCGCGGUAA
rnacentral:rRNA from 1 species